rnacentral:rRNA from 1 species
AGUAGGUGCUUACCUGCAGUCGAACGGUGAAGCCAAGCUUGCUUGGUGGAUCAGUGGCGAACGGGUGAGUAACACGUGAGCAACCUGCCCUGGACUCUGGGAUAAGCGCUGGAAACGGCGUCUAAUACUGGAUAUGAGCUCCUUCCGCAUGGUGGGGGUUGGAAAGAUUUUUCGGUCUGGGAUGGGCUCGCGGCCUAUCAGCUUGUUGGUGAGGUAAUGGCUCACCAAGGCGUCGACGGGUAGCCGGCCUGAGAGGGUGACCGGCCACACUGGGACUGAGACACGGCCCAGACUCCUACGGGAGGCAGCAGUGGGGAAUAUUGCACAAUGGGCGGAAGCCUGAUGCAGCAACGCCGCGUGAGGGAUGACGGCCUUCGGGUUGUAAACCUCUUUUAGCAGGGAAGAAGCGAAAGUGACGGUACCUGCAGAAAAAGCGCCGGCUAACUACGUGCCAGCAGCCGCGGUAAUACGUAGGGCGCAAGCGUUAUCCGGAAUUAUUGGGCGUAAAGAGCUCGUAGGCGGUUUGUCGCGUCUGCUGUGAAAUCCCGAGGCUCAACCUCGGGCCUGCAGUGGGUACGGGCAGACUAGAGUGCGGUAGGGGAGAUUGGAAUUCCUGGUGUAGCGGUGGAAUGCGCAGAUAUCAGGAGGAACACCGAUGGCGAAGGCAGAUCUCUGGGCCGUAACUGACGCUGAGGAGCGAAAGGGUGGGGAGCAAACAGGCUUAGAUACCCUGGUAGUCCACCCCGUAAACGUUGGGAACUAGUUGUGGGGACCAUUCCACGGUUUCCGUGACGCAGCUAACGCAUUAAGUUCCCCGCCUGGGGAGUACGGCCGCAAGGCUAAAACUCAAAGGAAUUGACGGGGACCCGCACAAGCGGCGGAGCAUGCGGAUUAAUUCGAUGCAACGCGAAGAACCUUACCAAGGCUUGACAUAUACGAGAACGGGCCAGAAAUGGUCAACUCUUUGGACACUCGUAAACAGGUGGUGCAUGGUUGUCGUCAGCUCGUGUCGUGAGAUGUUGGGUUAAGUCCCGCAACGAGCGCAACCCUCGUUCUAUGUUGCCAGCACGUAAUGGUGGGAACUCAUGGGAUACUGCCGGGGUCAACUCGGAGGAAGGUGGGGAUGACGUCAAAUCAUCAUGCCCCUUAUGUCUUGGGCUUCACGCAUGCUACAAUGGCCGGUACAAAGGGCUGCAAUACCGUAAGGUGGAGCGAAUCCCAAAAAGCCGGUCCCAGUUCGGAUUGAGGUCUGCAACUCGACCUCAUGAAGUCGGAGUCGCUAGUAAUCGCAGAUCAGCAACGCUGCGGUGAAUACGUUCCCGGGUCUUGUACACACCGCCCGUCAAGUCAUGAAAGUCGGUAACACCUGAAGCCGGUGGCCCAACCCUUGUGAGGGUAU